ensembl:lncRNA
AUUUGCUGGCCCAGAAGUGUCAGGGUAGAAGCAAGUACAUUUGGUGGGUAAUCGUUUAUUACGGGGAUGUUUCAGAAUUACUCUAAUUCCUUGUGGUCUUUUGGGUUGGUGAUUUGCACUCUACUAGCCAGUGUGUUGGAUGACAAGUCUAAAAGACUAAAGAUCACAAGGUAUGGGAUUAGUCUAAUCCAAACCAGAUGUUCACAUGACACAUGCAUGGUGCUUACCCAUCACCAUCAGUUUCUGUUUCAGCCAGCAAAAAGAAGAAAGAUAUUCUACGGUGUGAGUCAAGUAGCUUUUUGUGAAGUCAGAGGAGUCUUGUCCUGGGAAGACUGCCAAGACAGAGCAACCUGGUCAGAGAUGGAUGUCUAUACUGUAGCUUUUUUGGACUCCAACAGGUGAAUCACAGCUGCAGGGUCUAUGCCUGAACCUUACUCAGAAGAUUAGUAUUUUCCAGAUUUCAUUGUGGCUAGAAGCCAUGUUCCUCCAUUCUGAAGGAUCCCAGGAUGGAAUAUGAUUGUCUGGAUUUACCUUAUAACAUUGGAGUCUUCAUCUGAACUUUCCCUCAAGCUACUUUUGAUUGUCAACUACUUAUGACUGUAGUUCAAAGCUCUAUUAGCUCGGUCCCUGAUUCUUUCUGGAGUAUACCUGUGGACUGCAUCCCUUGAAUAUCACCUGAAUAGCUGGCAGUGACCUUAGUUAUCCUGUGUACGAGCAGCCUGCUUCCUGAACAUCAAUUCAUGAGAAAGUGAUGAAGUGUUUGAACAAUCAGCUAUAAAAUGUGGUGUAUCUUCUCUCUGGUCAGUUUUGAACUCAUUGUUGAAUAACUGAGUGCACCAAGUCUCAAUUCUCCUUUGCUAAAUUCAGGCUGCUAAUAAGCUUCAAUGAAAAACACUGGAAAAUCAAGAUCUUUAAUGUUCCUACACACCCAGGAUAAAGGAGAAGCUGCUGAUAUAAGAAUAUGGGCUUGGACUGUUUGAAGACGUGUGAUGAGUCAGAAUCUGUACUUCUGCUGUUCUACAAGAACUGCUGCCGAAUGCUAAGUCUUGCCAACUGUGAAAUUGCUAUUUCUGCUUCAUAAUGUUUUCUAUCAAAACAGAAUGUAGAGAAAAGGUAAUAACUGGAUUUUUAGAACAAAUCAGACUGCUUGUCAGGACUUUUUCCUUUGGUCUCCAGCCAAAAGUCUCAAUUUAAAAAACUUCAGACUUUAUAUCAUCUCAACUGGCACAAAUGUUUUUAUUUUUCUCCAAUUCACACGAUAAUUUGAUUGAAUUGGUUGUACUACUCUUUUGACAAAAAGGGGCAUAUUCCUUUAAAAAUAUGCUUGCACAGUUAAGUCUUUUAUUUGGUAGAAGUAAUGGCUACUUCCAACAGUCUUAAAAGUAAAUUUAGGGUUUGAUUUUUUAGACUAUGGGAUUUUCAUAGUAAGGUUUUGGCAAUGGUGGGCUGCAGGGCCUACCAGCUGUCCCAUGUCAGAUCAGAGACUGCUCCAACUGCUCCAAAGGGACUCACUGUUGCCAGAGCUGAGCCAUGAGUGAUGCUGGGUGUGCUCUGGGGGAGCAGAAUUUAAAAAGCAAGAAAGAGACCAUGGCUAACAUGGAAUGUACAGAGUAUAUUUCUGUCAGUUAGACCUGUCUAAAAGCCUUACUGAGCAAAGUACUUGGGCUCUGUUAUCCAGUGUCUGACCAGUGAGUUUAUCAAGCCUGUUUAACUGCCCAAGUACUUUGGCUGAGGUGGGGUAUAGGCCAUCAAUUAGUUUUUGUAGUGUUUCAUGCUUUCUGAUACAUGCAUUUGCCCACUGCUUUGUGAAGACCAUCAAUCCAAUGAAGAACAGAGGGUAUAAGAGUCUGUUUCCUAUUUUAAGAAUUUUGUCCUCAGAAUCUGAAAUGCAACCAGUACUGCACAACAAAGGGACUGCUUUACCCCUCUCUGGUGCAGAUUCCACUCCGUGACAAUAUAUCAUAGUGAAAGUAACCUAUAACCCAGAUUUCCAGAGAUCUGCAUAGUGCAUCUAGUAGCUUUGAGCCUACUGAUGAGCAACGUAUCAUUGCCAGAAGAUUUCUGUGGAGAGGGAUUCUCAUUCCACUUUAAAAAUGAAAAGGUAAAUCAUAUACAGAUACUUAAAGGAAAGAGCAUUAAGCUAGCAAAAAUGAAUACUGAGCAACUAACAUAGGACACAGUAAAGCUUUCUUCAUAAGCCUAAUUCAUCCUGCUGUUCCUGUGCAUUGUCUUUUCCUCAGGUUUUCUACUCAUACAAUAUAAAACAUGGAUCUGAGUUAGUUAUGUUAAAAAAGUUAUUGUCUGUAGAGCUUGUCAAAGCCAAAAAAUAUAUGGUAAUUAAGGCAAAGGACUGUAAGAAGAGAUGUGGCACUGCUGAUGUGAAGGUGGUGGUAUGCUGUCAUGGAGAUAUGGACUCCUAGAGAAUAUGCCAAAGAGAUCAUCUACAGUGGCAGAAAAAUUGCUUCAACCAAGAUUUUUCAUAUUUGUCAUCUGCUUGAUCUCUCUACAUUUCUUAUUCGCAGAUCCAAGGUGAUUAUGAUCCAUGAAUUCCAAAAGCUUUGGCACAAACAGCACCAUCUGAGCUUGCUAGAACAUGUUCUUAUAGGAACCUGUCAGAGCCUACAUAAUUGUAAAAAUAAUUAAAUAUUGAAUCACUGGAAACACAAAGACUUCCAGACUACAAUCCCAAUUUCCAUUUUUAAUCUCAGUGUGUUUAAGUAUCUACCAUUUUAUCUUCUUGAAGAGAUGAGAUAUAUAAAUUUCUUCAUAUUUGAAAAGACUUUACAAACAGUAGGAGAUUAUGCGACAUACAUUCAUAGACAUUAAAGCUGUCAUUCCUCAUCGUAAGCUUAAGUACUGUGGAAUGUAGGGGUGAGUAUGAAAACAGAGGCUAGAAUAAUUAAGACAGCAGAUAAUGGCAUAAGUAGUAUUUCACCUUUUGGCCACCUGUUGCAGCACAGCCAAAGCCAACAGUGACUGAAAGUCAUUAUCAUUUGACAGCUGCUCCAUGAGCUUUGUAAAAUGACUACGUAAUUGUUUUCAGCCUCUUUCCUAGUGGACAGGUGUCCAUACCAUGAUUAGUGUUAAUUGGCAAUGUUGUUGGCCGUCACAAGAGGAAAACUAAUGAAAGAAUGAUGUGGACUGGAAUGAUUUUUGCAGACCCAAGAGCAAUAUGCCUGUCUGUGUGCACUGCCUGGGGACAGAAAGUCAGCUCUGUGCCCCUCCAAACAUACUGUUUACAUGAAUUCUCAUUCUUCUAUGAGAAAAAAGCAAUGAUGGAUUUAGAAUGGAAUUGAGACUAACAGUGGAAGAAAGAUACGGCUUAGAAAAUUUGAAAUGUGUCUUGAUCAAUAUUUGUUUGAUUUUAACCUGGCUAGAAAGCAAAGUUUGGUUUGAGAAAGAGGGACAAACAUGGAGAAAGAGCUUUAAGAAUGCAACACCUGAAGGAGAACUGAGGAGUCCCCUUUCACUAAAGAAUAACAACUAGUUGGGAUGUCAUGUAGUCUCUGUUUCUUUAAGGUUGUUGUCAGCUUUGUAACAUGACCUACUGUGUGUUUUUCUCAUAACCAAAGUGCUUUUGACUGCCAAAUGUGGCUUCGUAUGUACAUAUCUAUUGAAGUAAUACAGAACUGUCAGUAGUUAUGAGACCAGAUUUUGCUUCAUGCCUUCCAGGUUGAACACUUGGACACCUAUAAAAUGAUUAGGGAAGAACAUAUGUGGCAGAUGCAAUAAAUUCUCUACUCAUUUGAAUUAGAAAAUCUCUAAUACUCUCACUGUGACAUAAUAUCUGAAUUUUGAUGAAUGUGUGUAAUUUAUAUAUGGACUUAACAGGAGAGUGUCACAGUGACCAGUGCAUAAUAAGACAUUCAGGAAGUUAUAUCUCUCUGACCAAAAAUCUGGAUUUUGAUGUCAUAUUCUAUUCUAGUCAUUAUUCCUUCUCCAUACACCUUAAUAUUUUUACUGUAAGUUACAGAUGCUAAAGCGAAACCACUACAAACCAACUUGCUCUGUAAACCUACAAGAAAUCAGCUUUGCCAUAAGCAUUCAUGGUGUGGUCUUUUCCUGAUGCAGUGUGUGGUAGGUUUAGGCUCAUGGAUGUUGCAGAACCAAAUGUCAUGGAAGUUUGUCCAGAGUUUUCAUGCUUCUGCAAAACAAAACACAAAAAAAUGCAAACUUUCAAGCUACUGGUGAUCACAAAAGUGCAGCUAACACUGAAUGAGGGUACUGUUACGUAUAACUCUUGGCUCUUAUAACAGGACAAAGUGCUUAUAUCUUAGAAGAACAUGGGAAAAGUAAAAAGAAAAUAAGAGGGUUAAUUCCUAGGAAGUGAUGGUGGAUGUCUGACAGAAAUUUAAUUACGUGUGAGACGAAAUGAUACUGUUGUGCUAUCAUGUAGGAAAAAGAGAGGGGGCAUGAAUUGAUUCUUGUGUGUCAUUGCCUUUUCCUGAACGACUUACCAGCAUGGAGCCGACUGCAUCCUGGAUAAUGAAUAUACUUUCUGUAUGAUCAAUACAGUUUCAUCACACAGCUGGCAGUAUUGAACACCUUUUCUGUUUCAGUCUGCAGCAUUUAUGCUCUCUUGUUGCCUAUUCCACCCUACGUGUUCUGAUGACAUAGCAUUAAUAAGUUUUGUUGGGGGUGCUAUAAAAAGCUUGUCUCCACAGACAUAGGUGCACAGAGGAACAAUGGGGAAUCUGAAUAUUACCAUUCUAUGACCCCUCUCUGGGUGAUCAGUCCUGUAGUCUGAGGGUGACACUCAUCACAAUGACUCAAUGGAAAGGAGCACCUUUCAGACAGAGGGUCUUUACUACCUAUCGGGGUAUGAACCUUACUUUGGGAAACAAGAAAGAGUAUUUUGAAACUGCACAAGAUUUUCAUGGGAUGUCUGGGGAGGAACAGAGGUUGCAGAAAAGAUUUAGGUGAUCUGGGGAGGAAUAAACUUAGGAAAAUAGAGGGAUAAGGAGCUGAAUACAUGUAAGUAUUGUUGGUCAGUGCAUUUAUACAACCAUGUUCAGUUCUUCCUCAACACACUCUGCCCUGUCUUCUCAACAAACACAAUUUCUAAUUGUUUUCCUGGGUGAGGGAUUCUUUGUUCUGUGUACAAUUGUUUUUUGUGCAGGACUAAGUGCCAGCACCUGGAGUGGGACCACAGGCCAAACAUCAGGUGCCAGUACAUGGAGCAUAUUCUGUUACACUUGUCAGCAUCGAAUAUCAAAAACUAUAUGCAAAACCAUCCUGGGAACAAGCUAUUGAAGGAACUAUAAGUCUGUGUCAGAUACUAGAGAGACCAGAGGGCCUGAGUAUUGACUGCUAGACGGAGUAGACAACUACACGAGAGACUGUAGGGUUCAAGAAUGUCCUGAGAAAUGCGUAUGUGUGCAUGAAUGCACAAGGCCUGUUGCUGUGGGCUUGAUACUGUGUAGGCAUGUGAAUCUUUGUGUGUGUUCAGGAAGUGAAGGGAUUUGUACCAGCAGCCAGAGUAGGGCUUGCACACCCACCUGCCAGCUGCUGGAGAGACCUGCAAUACAACAUCCAGAUACUAGAUAAAUUGAGUGUCCAUGGCCAGCUAUUAGAUGUACCCAUAUUGUAUCCAUAUGUAUAUUUUUGCCACUUAUGGUCAUUUAUACUGAUUAGUCAGAGGUACUCUUUGAGUCUGCAUGAGUAUUGAGUAUUCCUGUCUAUGCUGUUCUGUAUUACUUACUAGAUGUAUGUGCUGUAUAUCUGGGUGUGUGUAUGUGCUUACAGGAAACAGAUGCUAAACUACUUUCUAGCUGGACUUGGGGACAUGGAGCUGUGGCAUCUUUGCCUCUAUUAAACUACUAGGUUCAGCAGUCCCUAACACAUUUAUUAUAUACAAUCAUCAUGAAUGAAGAGAGAAUCUUAGCAAAAUCUAUAUGGGGGUAUUUCUGAACUCUGGGAAACUUUAGAUACAUUAUCUUGUCUCUUGAGAAUGAGGAAAAUAUCACUUGGAUGGUAAAUAUUCUUAAAGAAAGCAAGGAGAAAUAUGAAAUGUUAUAUUCUAGCCAAUUUUCCCUGUGGUAUAUAUAUUCUUAUUUCAUUAGAGAAACAUAGUCUUUUUAAAUAUAUAUAUUUUCUUGAUAAAUAUAGCAAUCACAGACUAGAAGAAGACAAGAGAUAUACUAAGGUUAGUUUUUCUGGAAAAUGAUUCCCUUUCCCUUGUUAAUGUGCCUAUUGGUAUUACUCUGUUAGGAUAAUUAUAGCAUUUUAUCAUGUUGGCAGAUCCUUUGUAAUCAUUUUUGUUCCCAUUAAGCAGUAACAGUUGCAAAAGAACCUUGGCUCAGGACACCUGUUGGCAGCUUCACAGCUGCUGCUGAAAUGGAAUUUCAGCAGUGUUUGUAACUCCAGAUAGGAUGUCACCUUGGGGAGAGCAGGCAUUUUAAGGGCUGCCCGGCCAGUCUGAGAAACCUGGCUUUUACAGAACCACCUCAUGCUCCCAGUACUCCUGUAUCUCCUGUUGCAGGUACAGGCAGCAGGUGGAACUACAGGAACUCUUUAGACAGACAUAGGAUCAUGGUUCUCUGAUUCCAUUUCUUUGAUAAGAAGGAAAGAAUUGGGACUAAUUUUAUUCAGACCUAAGAAAGUUAUCUUCUGAUUUUAUUUAUAGUCAUUUUUAGUGUCAGAUAUUUUAGAUCUUUUAAGUUCAAUUACAGAAUCACAGAAACACAGAACCACAGAAUGGCCUGGGUUGGAAGGGACCUCAAGGAUCAUGAAUUUCCAACCCCCAUGCCAGGCAGGGCCACCAACCUCCACAUUUACCAGACCAGGUUGCCUAGGGCCACUUCGGACCUGGCCUUGAACACCUCCAGGGACGGGGCAUCCACAACCUCUCUGGGCAGCCUGUUCCAGCACCUCACCACUCUCCUGGUAAAGAACUUCCCCCUAACAUCCAACCUAAAUCUUCCCUCUUUCAACUUAAAAACAUUUCCCCUUGUCCUGCUGUUAUCUACCCUUUCAAAGAGUUGACUCCCUUCCUGAUUAUAGGCUCCCUUCAGGUACUGAAAGGCUGCAAUGAGGUCACCCCGCAGCCUUCUCUUCUCCAAGCUGAAUAAGCCCAGCUCCCUCAGCCUGUCUUCAUACGAGAGGUGCUCCAGCCCCCUGAUCAUCUUCGUGGCCCUCCUCUGGACCCUCUCCAACAGCUCUUUGUCUUUCUUGUACUGGGGACUCCAUACCUGGACACAGUACUCCAGAUGGGGCCUCACAAGAGCAGAGUAGAGAAGGACAAUCACCUCCCUGUCCCUGCUGGCCACCCCUCUCAUGAUGGAGCCCAGGAUACCAUUUGCUUUCCGAGCCACAGGAGCACACUGCUGGCUCAUGUUAAGUUUGUCAUCCAUCAGGACCCCCGUCCUUCUCUGCAGAGCUGCUCUAAAGGACUGCUCCUUCCGGUCUGUAUAGAUGCCUGGGGUUCCUCUGGCCCAAGUGCAAAACCUUGCACUUUGCCGUGUUGAACCUCAUUAGGUUCACCUGGGCCCACCUUUCAAGUCUGUCAAGGUCUCUCUGAAUGGCACCCCUUCCUUUCUCUGUGUCAACUUCAGCACUCAGCUUGGUGUCAUCUGCAAACUUGUUGAAGGUGCACUCGAUUCCGUCGUCGAUGUCACUGAUAAAGAUGUUAAAGAGCACCGGUCCCAAGACAGACCCCUGGGGGACUCCGCUCGUUACCGGCCUCCACCUGGACAUGGAACCAUUGAUCACCAUCCUCUGUCUGCGGCCUUUCAACCAAUUUCUUAUCCAACGAGUGGUCCACCCAUCAAAUCCACAUCCCUCCAAUUUGGAGAUAAGGGUGUGGUGGGGGACCAUGUCAAAGGCCUUGGGAUUGCAAUAUAUCUAUUAAUUAAACUAUUUACACAAUGUCUGUGGCAGUAACGCUCUUUGAAAAAAAAUCUUCACCACUGUAUGUAUGUAGUUCACAUGUGUUCAUAUGUUGCAGUCACUGUUACACUUUUUUUUUUUGAUCCUAGAGGGAUAAAACUUCUAACAGAAGCACUGCAGGUUCACACUCCUUGUUUUGCUGUGAAUAGAUUAUGUUUUAGCAACAGCUCAAGCUGAUCAAUUUAUCAUGAAUUAAUUAAUUUCACCUGGAACACUGGAGAGGCUUUGAACUUGAGGGAAAGCAGUAACCAAGAGGAAAUCAAACUCUUCCCAAAUGCUGUAUGUCUUCAUACUCAAAACUAUGUUGCUAUAAUUAUACUGCAAU